rnacentral:rRNA from 1 species
GAUGAACGCUAGCGGGAGGCCUAACACAUGCAAGCCGAGCGGUAUUGUUUCUUCGGAAAUGAGAGAGCGGCGUACGGGUGCGUAACACGUGUGCAACCUGCCUUUAUCUGGGGGAUAGCCUUUCGAAAGGAAGAUUAAUACUCCAUAACAUAUUGAACGGCAUCGUUUAAUAUUGAAAGCUCCGGCGGAUAGAGAUGGGCACGCGCAAGAUUAGCUAGUUGGUGAGGUAACGGCUCACCAAGGCGAUGAUCUUUAGGGGGCCUGAGAGGGUGAUCCCCCACACUGGUACUGAGACACGGACCAGACUCCUACGGGAGGCAGCAGUGAGGAAUAUUGGACAAUGGGUGAAAGCCUGAUCCAGCCAUCCCGCGUGAAGGACGACUGCCCUAUGGGUUGUAAACUUCUUUUGUAUAGGGAUAAACCUACCCUCGUGAGGGUAGCUGAAGGUACUAUACGAAUAAGCACCGGCUAACUCCGUGCCAGCAGCCGCCGUAA